UCCGUAGGUGAACCAGCGGAGGGAUCAUUACCGAGUUUACAACUCCCAAACCCCUGUGAACAUACCUAUACGUUGCCUCGGCGGAUCAGCCCGCGCCCCGUAAAACGGGACGGCCCGCCCGAGGACCCCUAAACUCUGUUUUUAGUGGAACUUCUGAGUAAAACAAACAAAUAAAUCAAAACUUUCAACAACGGAUCUCUUGGUUCUGGCAUCGAUGAAGAACGCAGCAAAAUGCGAUAAGUAAUGUGAAUUGCAGAAUUCAGUGAAUCAUCGAAUCUUUGAACGCACAUUGCGCCCGCCAGUAUUCUGGCGGGCAUGCCUGUUCGAGCGUCAUUUCAACCCUCAAGCUCAGCUUGGUGUUGGGACUCGCGGUAACCCGCGUUCCCCAAAUCGAUUGGCGGUCACGUCGAGCUUCCAUAGCGUAGUAAUCAUACACCUCGUUACUGGUAAUCGUCGCGGCCACGCCGUAAAACCCCAACUUCUGAAUGUUGACCUCGGAUCAGGUAGGAAUACCCGCUGAACUUAAGCAUAUCAAUAAGCGGAGGAAAAGAAACCAACAGGGAUUGCCCUAGUAACUGCGA
rnacentral:rRNA from 1 species